AUGGACUCCCGCCACCAGCGGCUGGCGACGCUGACCAAGGCCCUGACGGCGCACGUCAACGCCGGCCGCCACGGCGACGCGCUCGCCUUCUUCGCCCACAUGGCCUCCGACCCGGCGCUCCCGCCGCUCGCCGACCCGUCCUUCGCGUACGCCCUCCCGCUCGCGCUCAAGUCCGCCGCCGCGCUCCGCCUGCCCUCGUCCGCCGCCGCCGCCCCCAUACACGCGCUCGCGCGCAAGUGCCGCGGCCUCCUCAGCAACCCCUUCGUCGCCUCCGCGCUCGUCGUCUCCUAUGGUGCAUGUGCCGGCUCCUCCCCCGAGUCCGCGCGCCGCCUGUUCGACGAAUUGCCUGGCCGCACCGCCGUCGUCUGGAGCGCCAUGAUCUCCGUCUACGUCAGGUCAGGGGACGUCGCCGCGGCCGCGCGGGCGCUCGGCGAGAUGGACGUCGUGCCGACUGCCUCCUGCUUCAACUCGGUGAUUGCGGCGGUGGCGGAGUCUGGGGACCGUCCCGCCCGGGCCGUCGAGCUCUACCGGCGGAUGCAGGGGAUGGGCGUCAGGCCCUCGCUCAUCACCCUGCUGGCGCUCGUCCCUGUGUGCACCGCGCUGGGAGCGCUGGGCUCGGUCAGGGAGGUGCACAGCUUCGCAUUGCGGCACGACAUGUUCGCGAGUUGCCACCUCGGCAGCUCCCUCAUCGAGGCGUACGGGCAGUGCGGCUCUUUGGUCGGCGCACAGAGGGUUUUCGACCUGGUGGACGAGCGUGACGUGGUUGUCUGGAGCGCCAUGGUGUCGGCGUACGCGUUCCAUGGCCAUGGAAACGUCGCGAUGUCGCUUUUCAGGCGUAUGGAGCUGGAUAAGGUCCGGCCUGAUGGCAUAAUGUUCCUUGGCGUGUUGAAGGCCUGCGGCCAUGCUGGUCGCGCAGAUGAGGCUUUGAAGUACUUUGAUGUGUUAACCAAGACGCAUGGAGUCGAAGCAUGUGGAGAUCAUUAUUCAUGCUUGGUUGAUGUCUUGGGACGGGCAGGGAGGUUGCAUCAGGCCUAUGAUGUUAUACGGACGAUGCCGGUUAGAGUUACCGCAAAGGCCUGGGGUGCUCUCCUUGCUGCUUGCAGGAAGUAUGGGGAGGUGGGGCUGGCAGAAGUUGCAGCGAGAGCGUUGUUUGAGAUUGAACCAGAGAAUGCAGGGAACUUUGUUUCGCUUGCAAAUGUCUAUUCGGGCUUGGGUAUGCAUGAGGAGGCAGAGCGGGUGAGAAGGGACAUGGAGCAACGAGGCUUGCAGAGCUCACCUGGAAGCAGUUGGACGAUACACCGCAAGUCAAGUGAACUUGUCUGA
rnacentral:rRNA from 1 species